GGAAACUGCAGAGAGCCAGCAGCUGGACCACUGUGGAGCUGUGAGGAGAGACCACCGCAGCCCUGAGCGGCUCCUGACAAACAAAUAUAAUGAAGACAUCUGAGAUUUGAUGAACUCAUUAGUGAGUAAGAACUGAAAUGAACAAACAAACAUCCUGAGAGAAUUUGUGAAGCACACACAGCAGAGAGACGCCUCAUGUGAAUUACGUCAGCUGAGAGAAUAUGGCAGUCGCAGGGCCUCAGUGUAUAAACAUCUCAGUGUGCAGGCAGGACGGCUCUUCUCACGAUGGCAGCACUCCAGUGACAGACAUGGAGCGGAAUGGACUCAAAAUUGGUCUUUGCUUUCCUCACAGUAAUGCAUCUUGUCGUAAACUGAUUUAUGACACUGAAGUUUAUGGACUUUAUUACACUUUCUCGUGUCUUUUGCUUUUAUUGACAGUCUUUGGAAAUCUUCUUGUCAUCAUUUCUAUUUCUCAUUUUGUUCAGCUGCACACGCCGACUAAUCUUCUGAUCCUUUCACUCGCAGCAGCCGAUUUCUUAACAGAAUAUUUGUAGUUGCAAGAAGCCAUUCAAAAGCCAUCAACUGUAUGAUAGAAAAGAGACAAACUGAGGAGUUGAGUGACAGUAAAAUAUCAAAACCGUCUGAAAGAAAAGCCGCAAAAACAUUAGGAGUAGUCGUGGGGGCUUUUAUUAUCUGCUGGCUGCCUCUUUAUGUGUACAAUCUUUUUAAUGAUGGUAGUAACCUAAUCACACGUAUCAUCAGGAAUGUCUUGGUGUUGGUCAGUGAAGUGAACUAUGGAGUUAAUCCAAUUCUUUACGCUUUUCUUUAUUCCUGGUUCAGAAAAGCACUGAAAAUCAUCCUGAGUUGUAAAAUAUUUAGUCCAGCUUCUUCUGUGAUCAGUUUACUGUAAAUGGUAAAGAAAAUAA